rnacentral:tRNA from 1 species
GGUGAUGUAGCUCAGUGAUACAGCACUUGCCUUGUACACAUGAGGUCCUAGGUUCAACCCCUAGCACCACAA